rfam:Phlebotomus papatasi Contig14.126, whole genome shotgun sequence.
CAAACAGCCCUUUUUAGGGCUAUCAAACUAUUACAUAAAGAGUUGA